rfam:Flavobacteriaceae bacterium CRH Contig05, whole genome shotgun sequence.
CAAUCGGCUCCUUUUGGAGCCACAAGUGUUAUCAUUCUGGCCGCA